rnacentral:piRNA from 1 species
UCCUCGGAUGGCUUUGUUCUGAUAGGC